rnacentral:lncRNA from 1 species
AGAAUUAUCUGCUGAAGAGACGUUUGAAAAUAAGAAAAACAAACUCGAGGAGUUGGGAAUGCAACUACUUUCUGAUCCUGAGGCAAACAUAAGAACCAUAAAGGAAUUUGUUCAAAAAAAAAAAAAAAAAAAAACAAAAAGGAAAAUGACCCGGAGUAAAAAAAAAAGACAUGCAGAGCCUAAAAGAAAAAAAAAACAUAAAGGAAAUGUUAGACAUCUCCAAAGAUGGGAAUAGAAAGAUAGUGAAACUUGGCUUGUUAUCUGUGUUGGCCGUAUUUAAAGAUAUUAUUCCUGGGUAAUUUUAUCAGACCUUUCCCCCAUUUUAUCUGCCAGCUAUUAGAAUAGACUUCCUACAGAAAAGGAGCUCGAGAUGAAGGUCUCAAAGGCAGUAAAGAAAACCCGGUUCUAUGAGUCAACUUUAUUAAAAGCCUACAAGGUAUGCAUGUCAAGUAUACUUGAUUCUUGAUUCUUGACUCUUGAUUCCUCUGAAUAUAUUUGUAACACAUAUGCUUUUUUGCUGCUGUUUGUCCUUGACAGUCAUAUCUGCAAAAGUUUAGUUGCAUUUGAAAAGCAGUCAGUCAGUAUAUAACCAGGUUGCCUCUCGGUGCAUUUGUACGUUGCUGGAUGCGAAACCACGGUAGUUGAAGCUCUGAUGUCACGUCUCCUUUUUUGUAUCUGUCUUUAGGUGUUCAUGUCCAUACGCUUUGACGAGGAUAUUGGAAAGCGUGACAGAGAUGAUGCCAAUAAGAAUAAAUUUAAGAAAAAUAAAAAAAGAAAUAUCCUAGUGGAGCAAAAUAAUGAGCAGGAAAACAAUGUCUAAGACCAGAGACGGGGUAUUUUACUUUCCUUUUCUGUAAUAGAUUAGAUGGUGCGAAAUUUGACGUUUUGACAUUGUUUUCCCUCGUUUUGGCAACUCUAUCUCUAUGACCAUAACAUCUAAAAUGGGUUCUGGUUCUUACUGUUCCUUUCAUCUAAACUUGAUGACAUUGUUCAGGUUCCUGCUGAUUACAAGGAAGUUACGUAUGAACCAGAUGUUAAUUUUUUUGGUUUUGUUUUUGUGGUAAUUUAUAAAUUAUAAUUGUUGCUUUAUUUAUUUUAUCUUUGUGGCUAACCAUAUUUUUUGACAUUAAGCUGAGUAAUUAAAACCUCCUAUCAC